rnacentral:lncRNA from 1 species
UCGAAGUGGAAGAAGCUUUUUGCUCACGGCUCCUUUUCUCUCUGCAGAGCUUUCACCUCCAGGGCAAAGUAAAACAGUGCACAUCUCUCUUUACAUCUUUCUUGGUGGACGAGGUCACUCCCGCAGAUCCAGGCCGGGUUUAGGCACCGACCAGGUGGAGAUUUUUAAAAAGCCUCCUCGGAUAUAUCACCAUUGUUGGAUGCUUGUAUAUUUAAGUGAGCUGAUUGCAUAAGAGAUCCUUUGAAUUGUCCAAGAAGGCUACCUGGAGGCAGAGGACUAAAUGACCCAGCCUUUCCUUAAUGCUGCCUGGUAAGAAGUUGAAGUACUUUUCUUAAAUAUACAAAUAAUGUUCCAUUUUUAUUAUUUAUAUUCUUUUUAUUUUUUAAAGAUUUAUUUAUUUAUUCUCCACGCCUCUUCCCCCCUCCCCCCCAUGCCUCGUUGUCUGCUC